rnacentral:rRNA from 1 species
AGUCGCGAACGGGUGAGUAACGCGUAGGUAACCUGCCUGAUAGCGGGGGAUAACUAUUGGAAACGAUAGCUAAUACCGCAUAAGAGUCGUUAACACAUGUUAAUGAUUUAAAAGGAGCAAUUGCUUCACUAUCAGAUGGACCUGCGUUGUAUUAGCUAGUUGGUGAGGUAACGGCUCACCAAGGCCUCGAUACAUAGCCGACCUGAGAGGGUGAUCGGCCACACUGGGACUGAGACACGGCCCAGACUCCUACGGGAGGCAGCAGUAGGGAAUCUUCGGCAAUGGACGAAAGUCUGACCGAGCAACGCCGCGUGAGUGAAGAAGGUUUUCGGAUCGUAAAGCUCUGUUAUAAGCGAAGAACGGGAGUAAGAGUGGAAAGUUUACUCUGUGACGGUAGCUUAUCAGAAAGGGACGGCUAACUACGUGCCAGCAGCCGCGGUAAUACGUAGGUCCCGAGCGUUGUCCGGAUUUAUUGGGCGUAAAGCGAGCGCAGGUGGUUUAAUAAGUCUGAAGUUAAAGGCAUUGGCUCAACCAAUGUACGCUUUGGAAACUGUUGAACUUGAGUGCAGAAAGGGAGAGUGGAAUUCCAUGUGUAGCGGUGAAAUGCGUAGAUAUAUGGAGGAACACCGGUGGCGAAAGCG